CUACUGUCACCUGGCCAGACAUUCUCUCAGUGAAACGAAUUCCUGGUUUUUGAUCUGCAUUUGCGAUAGUACCUAAUAAACAAAAAAGGACAGUGAAGAAUGCAGAAUUUGGACUAAGUUCUCAGGACAGUUAAGCAUCUUCUAUAAGCAAUCUGCAGCAUCGUUCAGCAAGGAUUGAAAUGGUCAUCGCAGGAUUAACCCCAACCGAUGUUGGUAUAAUAGCACCAUCCAUUACAUAGAGGCCAGGGUGAACAUCGUCAGAAUCCCCU